CCUACGGGGGGCAGCAGUGGGGGAUAUUGGACAAUGGGGGAAACCCUGAUCCAGCGACGCCGCGUGAGUGAAGAAGUAUUUCGGUAUGUAAAGCUCUAUCAGCAGGGAAGAAAGAAAUGACGGUACCUGAGUAAGAAGCCCCGGCUAACUACGUGCCAGCAGCCGCGGUAAUACGUAGGGGGCAAGCGUUAUCGGGAAUUACUGGGUGUAAAGGGAGCGUAGACGGGAAUGCAAGUCUGGAGUGAAUGGCGGGGGCCCACCCCCAGAACUGCUGUGGAAACUGUGUGACUGGAGUGCAGGAGAGGCAGGCGGAAUUCGUGGUGGAGCGGUGAAAUGCGUAGAUAUUAGGAGGAACACCGGUGGCGAAGGCGGCCUGCUGGACUGUAACUGACGUUGAGGCUCGAAAGCGUGGGGAGCAAACAGGAUUAGAUACCCCGGUAGUC
rnacentral:rRNA from 1 species